UACAGAGGGUGCGAGCGUUAAUCGGAAUUACUGGGCGUAAAGGGCGCGUAGGCGGUGAUACGAGUGUGAUGUGAAAGCCCCGGGCUUAACCUGGGAAGAGCAUCGCAAACUGUAUUUCUGGAGUAUAUGAGAGGGUGGCGGAAUUUCCGGUGUAGCGGUGAAAUGCGUAGAGAUCGGAGGGAACGUCGAUGGCGAAGGCAGCCACCUGGCAUGAUACUGACGCUGAGGCGCGAAAGCGUGGGGAGCGAACAGG
rnacentral:rRNA from 1 species